ACUCCUCUGACGGCAUAUACAGCUCAUCCCUAGUUACCAUCCCAUUCAUCUGCAUUUUUACACUUUUUCAUAUUUUUUCCUAAUUGUGGAUAUUUUGUAGAAAACUGUUUGACAGUAUAACCACCCAUAUAUUUAAGAGCUUCUUCUUCAAUUACAGUGGCAGCCUUUUUUUCUUCUUCUUUCUUUAUCCAGAAUCUGAUUUGUUUAUAUUUUCUGUGUGGCACUCAGAAUCUAAAUCUUUAAACAAUGAGCUGGUCAAGUAUAUUUCUAAUGCCAAUUCUCUAUCUUCACUGAAUUACAUGCACUCAUUUGUCAACAUAUAAUUGUUGCUCUUUGCAAUGAUGUUUGUUUUUUCACUAAUUAUUUAUACAUCUUUUCCGGGAAUCAGUGACCCGAGCCUAAACUUAGAUUCAACAACAUUAGGGUGAUCGUAUUAUGCCCUUCAUUUGCCUUAUGCAACCGAACAGAUGCUCUAGGCAGUCUUCAUUCUUCAACUUUUGCGUCAUGAUGUAAUCAACAUUAAAAACAUCUUUAACCAUAUUACAAAGACCAAUGACCGACUUGCUAGAAAGAAUUAUGCCUUUUUGAAAUUUGUACAGACAUCUUGUUUUCUGUAAUUUUACUUUUAAAAAAGUCAUUACCUUUAUGAUCGCUCCAAAGUAUUUAUUUGAAAUUCUUUAUUAAUCCCAAAACCAUUUUUCGUUGGUAUGUCGCCAUGCCUGUUGUUUGAAUUCAUUAUGUCAAACCAGUCAUUUAUCACUGAGAUAAAAUCAACUUCCCAAAAACCUUAAAGCACUUGCACAAGAUGACGAUAAUGACUGUGCUGUCCAUUAACAGGUAGAUGGAGUUCAUUCAUUUUAUAGGCCAGCACAUAUUCUGUACUAGAUUUCACGGAUGCUUGUGCCAGAAAUGAAAUCACUGCCUAAAUAAAAGCUUAAAUUAAUUAAGUUAUUUCUGACUAAUUUUAUCAACUGUCAGCACUUGGGUUCUUGGAUGGAAUCCUAUUGGCAAGAGGAUCAAUGUCCAAUUCUUUCCACAUGCGAAGAGUGGCUGAUCCCAUGUCAGAAACAAUAGCAACAACGGGAUAACCAACAGCUUCAACAUGCAUUUAUGAUUUCUAAUAGUAACUAGUUCCUCGCUGGACGAGUGGUUUUCGCGCUCGGCUGCCAAUCCGGUGAAGUUCGAAUCCCGGCUCGACCAACGCGGAACCAGAGGAAUUUAUUUCUGGUGAGAGAAAUUCAUUUCUCGAUAUAGUGUGGUUCGGAUCCCACAAUAAGCUGUAGGUCCCGUUGCUAGGUGACCAAUUGGUUCCUAGCCACGUAAAAAAAAAAUAUCUAAUCCUUCGGGCCAGCCGUAGGAGAGCUGUUAAUCAACUCAGUGGUCUGGUAAAACUAAGAUAUACUUAACUUCUAAUAGUAAAUGCUUUAGAUUUAAAAUAAAUUGGUUGUUUCUACUUUCCUACAAGACCUUGUAGCAUUGGUAGUGACGGGCGAACUGUGGCUAGCGUGAAGAGCCCAGAAGGGUGACUCAGGGAUGAUCCUCUGUCCGACUGACCUCUGUAUUGGCCUUGUAAAUUCUGAGCCAACUGAGAGUAGCUGAGCAACUAACUCACCCACUCACUGACUGUCGUCUCUCCUUGCUUUUCGCAGCUACACUGAAGCGGGAUGAAUGCAAAGAGAUGCCCGGUGUCUAUCCUCCAAAUGCUACCUCAGAGCAAGGUCUAAAGUGUCAAAGACGCAGGCUACGAGUGCGUUUGGAGAUGUAGAUGAAUGUAUCAGCAAUCCAUGUGAACGCGAGAUGCUUUUCUCCACCUGCAAAAGAGUAGAUGAACGUCAAUGCAGAACGGAGUUUGUGGUCAUUUUCGGUUGAGUUUCAUAACAAUCUGCCGGGGAUCCGAAAUUCCCUCUCAGAGACUUUUGUAAACAAUACUUUAUAUUUUAAAAAGAUAUGGUUUGGUACCAAACGGUGCCUCUAACAGACGAGUCAUGUAUUAAGCAGGGAAGCUCUCCACGCCCGAUCAAAAUCAAGACAAACUUCUUAACGCAGUUGCAGGUCUAAAAACUUCCCUUCUGGCUUCUUUUUGCUGAAUGAUUUAUAGAUGAGUGAGUUAAGUGUAAAA